GCCCAAGUGCUGAAAUGGUAGACAGGCUGGCCUCAGAAGUCAGUGUACGCAAGUACGUGGAAGUUCGAGUCUUCUCUUGGGCA
rnacentral:tRNA from 1 species